CGUCCGGACAGCGGGAUGGCAGCAGCACGGUGCCGUUGCCGGGCCGCUCCGGGUUGUACCGCACAGUCACCGUGGCCGACCGGCCAUUGGGACACGCCCGGGUCGAGCUGACGGAGUACAGAAGGCGGAACGGCUUACCUGCAUAAAGGCGAACUCGCAGUCCCUCUUGCAGUCGACCUCGAAGCUGAAGCUGACGUCUCCGACCUGCCUGGCGGCGCCGUUCUGCACGCCGCCGGCCGAGCGGAACCCGGCCACAACCAGCGACAGCACCAGGUACACGCCGUCCGCCUGGCCGCGGCCCGAGUGCACGUGGUCGCCGGCCGCCUGCCAGCUCUUGCUGCUGCUGCAGCCCACAUCUGCCCGCGCGGGGAGGCGGGUUAGAAUAGAAACACUUUACAUGGGACUGCGGGGCUGCCCAUCCUCCAUGCACGGACUCUCAAGACGGAAUGCAACACCUGAGCAGAUAAAAACAAGCUGUACCUAAUUAUUAGUGACUGAACUAACAAAAGUUAAAAUACAAAAAUUCCUUGAUGGUUUGUAAUCUGUAUAAUGGAAUAAAAAACCAAAAUGCCCCA